rnacentral:misc_RNA from 1 species
AUGGAAACUUGGAACCUUGGUAUCUAUUGCACGACAGCACAUCCGUAAAUAUCUGCCAGAGUUGCUCUCUCUGAUUUCAGAAUUGUGGUCAUCGUUCAGCUUGCCUGCUGCGAACAGACCUGUCCACAUUGCUCCUAUUCUGCAUCUCGUUGAGCAACUUUGCUUGGCACUCAACGAUGAAUUCAGAAAGUAUCUUCCUGAUAUACUUCCCUGUUGUAUUCAAGUUCUUACUGAUGCGGAGAGGUUUAAUGACUACACAUAUGUUAUUCCUAUUCUCCACACCCUUGAAGUUUUUGGUGGGACAUUAGAUGAGCAUAUGCAUCUUCUUUUUCCUGCACUUAUUCGGUUGUUUAAAGUGGACGCUUCAGUAGAAGUAAGACGUGGUGCAAUCAG